rnacentral:rRNA from 1 species
CCUACGGGUGGCUGCAGUGGGGAAUAUUGGGCAAUGGAGGAAACUCUGACCCAGCAACGCCGCGUGAAUGAUGAAGGUCUUCGGAUUGUAAAGUUCUUUUCUAAGGGAAGAAGAAAGUGACGGUACCUUAGGAAUAAGCCUCGGCUAACUACGUGCCAGCAGCCGCGGUAAGACGUAGGAGGCGAGCGUUAUCCGGAAUGACUGGGCGUAAAGGGUGCGUAGGUGGUUUGGCAAGUUAGUAGCGUAACUCCAAGGCUCAACCUUGGAACUACUACUAAAACUGUUGGACUUGAGUGCAGGAGAGGCAGGCGGAAUGGCUGGUGUAGCGGUGAAAUGCGUAGAGAUUAGGAAGAACACCGGUGGCGAAGGCAGGUUGCUAGACUGUAACUGACGCUGAGGCACGAAAGCGUGGGGAGCAAACAGGAUUAGAUACCCUGGUAGUC